rnacentral:rRNA from 1 species
GAUGAACGCUGACAGAAUGCUUAACACAUGCAAGUCUACUUGAUCCUUCGGGUGAUGGUGGCGGACGGGUGAGUAACGCGUAAAGAACUUGCCCUGCAGUCUGGGACAACAUUUGGAAACGAAUGCUGAUACCGGAUAUUAUGUAUUUCUCGCAUGAGUUUUACAUGAAAGCUAUAUGCGCUGCAGGAGAGCUUUGCGUCCUAUUAGCUAGUUGGUGAGGUAACGGCUCACCAAGGCCAUGAUAGGUAGCCGGCCUGAGAGGGUGAACGGCCACAAGGGGACUGAGACACGGCCCUUACUCCUACGGGAGGCAGCAGUGGGGAAUAUUGGACAAUGGACCAAAAGUCUGAUCCAGCAAUUCUGUGUGCACGAUGAAGUUUUUCGGAAUGUAAAGUGCUUUCAGUUGGGACGAAGUAAGUGACGGUACCAACAGAAGAAGCGACGGCUAAAUACGUGCCAGCAGCCGCGGUAAUACGUAUGUCGCAAGCGUUAUCCGGAUUUAUUGGGCGUAAAGCGCGUCUAGGCGGUUUGGUAAGUCUGAUGUGAAAAUGCGGGGCUCAACUCCGUAUUGCGUUGGAAACUGCUAAACUAGAGUACUGGAGAGGUGGGCGGAACUACAAGUGUAGAGGUGAAAUUCGUAGAUAUUUGUAGGAAUGCCGAUGGGGAAGCCAGCCCACUGGACAGAUACUGACGCUAAAGCGCAAAGGCGUGGGUAGCAAACCAGG